GUCACUGUGUAUAGAAUAGGUUGUAGGACGCUGCCCGAUAGAGGAUGUCCUCUGGCUGGUAGGGUCAGCCCAUUUGGAAGAGUCUCCGUCGUUCACAGUGUGGCAUGUAUGGCUGGGUUCGCCGAGAUCCCAGUGGCCCACAGUGGUUGCCAAAUUGCCUGGGUUGUGCGGGGCGAAAAUGGCCAUCCAGGUGCUGGAUGAUAAGGUGCAGUUGUUGUUUGAUGUCGGCGUGCUCCCAUGUGUUGCUUUGUUAUUGACGAGGUCCGCGACAUCCUUCUGGAGCACAGGAAAGUCACGGUUGCGUUCAUAUUGCUGUUUUUCAAUGAGGUCGAUCUACACGUCGUUAGAUUUUGUAGGCAUAGUGGUGGCUCUAACACCACUUAUAGGAUCCCCCUAAGAGGAGAAUAAUAGCACGAUAACGCGAGAGGGAAAAGGAGGAAAACUGGAUGAUAGUAUUCUCGAAACCUGGGAUACUAAACACGAUAAUAGUCGAUUCUAAAUGGGGAAGACACCUCCUCUCUGAGAUCUAGCCGCGAAUGAAUGCUAGCUUGGGACAGGAUAAUCUCUGGGUAUCACAAUGCUAGUUUCACCAUGCUCAUGGCAACAGCUGGGUGCGAACCCGUCGGCGACGUUGGAUCGCCGUAGUCUACAUGAAAGAUCUCUAGUCUUGGGAGUGGGUGGCCGACAGCGGACGAAGCACAUUUUAGUAAGAACUAGAACACGAGGAG
rnacentral:lncRNA from 1 species